rnacentral:tRNA from 1 species
AGAGGAAUGGCUGAGUGGCUUAAAGCGAAGGUUUGCUAAACCUUUAUAUAGUAUAUCUAUAUCGUAGGUUCGAAUCCUUCUUCCUCUA